GUAAGAGUCGUUUGUGAGGGGCUGUGAGGCUCAUGGCCCUCCAGGUUGCCAGGCACAGAAGUUAAGACGGACGUCACAGUUGGCAGGGUGGGGCUAGUCAAGUCUGUCAGGGUGGUGGGCGUGCUGGAGGGGCUGAGCGAGGCGUUGGAGAGCUCCGAGGCCGGGCCCGAUGGCGUCCCUGUCUGCAGCGCCGCGUCUGUCGACUUGUCCACGCCCGUGUUUUCCUGCCGUAAGAGGUUGCGCCUGAACUUGGCUCGGGCGUUCUGGAACCAGACCUGCGGGGGACGACAGGGAAGGGCUGGUGAGCGGAAGGCAGGCAGAGCAUCCCCCCGACUGCUUCACUCAGAGCUCUGCUGCCUCUGGGGACGCUGAUCUGUGUUUUGCCAAGAGGAUCCAAAAAGUCAGGUUGGCAAUAUUUUGCUUUUUUGGUUUUUUUGUUUUUGUUUUUGUUUGCAGACAGGGUCUGGCUUGGUCCCCCAGGCUGAAGUGCAGUGACACAAUCUCGACUCACUGCAGCUUCUAACUCCUGGGAUCAAGCGAUCCUCCCGCCUCAGCCUCCUGGGUAGCUGGGGCUAUAGAUAGGUGAGCACCACCGGCCCCGCUAACUUUUUAAGUUAUUUUUUGUAGAGACGGGGUCUUGCAAUGUUGACCAGGCUGGUCUCAAACUCCAGGCUUCAAGUGAUCCCUCCUGCCUCAGCCUCCUAAAGCGUUGGGAUUACAGAUGUGAGCCACUGCACCUGGCCAAUAUUUUGCUCUUAAUAAAAUAAAACAAAAAUUUCACUCUAUCUAAUGGGCUACGGCUGGGCUUCUCUUUCUGAUAGGUGGUUCCAGAGCUGAGCUGUACUCCCGAAUAUCACAGCCACGAGCCACGUAUGGCUGCUGAGCACUUAAAAUGGCAUUAGCCCAAAUUCAACCAGUCUGCAGGUGAAAACACACAACCUAUCUGAAGGCUGAAUAUGAAAAAAAAAGCAGGUAGAAUAUCUCAAUAAUUUUUAUAUUGAUUACAUGUCGAAAUGAUUAAUAGUUUGGCUAUACUGAGUUAAGCAAAAUACAUUAUUAAAAUUAAUUUUACUUUUACUUGUCUCUCUUCAUUUCUUCAAGGAGGCUACUAGGACAUUUAAAACUUAAAAUUAAAUGUGUGCCUCAUGUUGCAUUUCUAUCAGACACACCAAACACACACACCAGACAAAUCUUGAUCCUUUUCCUAAUGGUUCUUUGAGACAUUCCUUUUUUUUUUUUCUUUUUCCUUUUUUGGCAGUUGCCUUUCAGCAGACAAUAAACCCCACAAGUUCUUGUUGGUAAAAUGUUUUAAAUGUUUUGUGGUCAGUAAGUCUGGGAAUGCGAUAAAGAACACAUGAGAAUCAGGCAAUAAUAAUGAGUUACUAAGAGGAAGUGAAAGACACGGAACCUAUCCCCAUCAUCGGUUGGGGGAGCCACCAGGUACCCUGGGCCACUGGGUGUCAGGUCUCAGGGUGGAGGUGGGUGGAGGUAGGCAGCGUGGGAACGGCAGCCAAAUUAAAGUGAGGCCAGGGAAGUUGAAACCCGCAGAGUCUCUCUCCCGACCUGCUGCAUCCCGUAUCGACUUAUGAGGGACGUGCGGCGGGGCGCAGAGCUGGGGCUGAGCUCUGUCUGAAAAGAAUGUCAGUGAGAGAACAUGGGUUUACUUUCAUUUUUCCUUGGGCACAGACACACACGCGUCCACUCCCAUAUCUUUGCACACACGCCUGUAAGCAUUCAGGAAGACACACAGAAAUUCAUCUAAGGACGGGCACAGUGGCUCAAGCCCGUAAUCCCAGCACUUUGGGAGGCCGAGGCAGGUGGAUCACUUGAGGUCAGCAGUUCGAGACCAGCCUGUCCAACAUGGUGAAACCCCAUCUCUACUAAAAAUAUAAAAAAUUAGCUGGGUGUGAUGGUGCGCUCCUGUAACCUCAGCUACUCGGGAGGCUGAGACAGAAGAACUGCUUGAACCCGGGAGGCGGAGGAUACAGUGAGCCAAGAUCCCACCACUGCACUCCAGCCUGGGCCACAGAGCAAGACUCCAUCUCAAAAAAAAAAAAAAAAAAAAAAGAAAAGAAAAAUGAAAUUCAUCUACACAGCCAGCACCUAAGUACCACCACCCAUCUAACAGCACAAACACAGGGACCCGCUGUACCCAGAGGUCCACGAAGUACUUUGGGAGGGGCUUAGGAAAUCCAGGCCACUCUGGGGGGGUUGAACCUUCCAAGGAAAAAGUCCUGAAAGGCAGGGCCCCUUCACUUCCCUUUGCGUGAGGAAAACACCCGCCAGAAGCCUCCCCAUAAAACAAAGGGCCUCAGGGCACUCUGCAGAUUCUGGGGUGUCCAGUUGCGCAUUUCCAGAUGUCCUGCAUCUGCCUGUCUUCCCAGUGUCUCUGGCAGGAGAGGGAGGGCUGACUCCUGGCCCCACGCACCCCUUGGGACCACCCCGGCUGCAGGGGCCUGUGGCCUCAAACCCCCGUUUCUGGUGGCGUAACACAAUUUGGGCUCAAUUAAAAGCAAAUCCACAAGAAUCUUGGAGUAAAGUGGGAGAUCCAGACCCUGUGAAGUGGAGAAACCAAGCUCCCUCCUCAGUGCUGGAUCUUCCCAGGAAGAAGGCACAUUUUCCCUGGCUCUCCGCCCAAAGAAAGCCCAUCACCCCUUCUGGGGGCUGGCAAAUAAGUACAGUGCUUCUCAGACCACCCUUGACAUGCUUUCCCUGGGGUGGGGGGGUCCUUCCCUUUCCCGGCCAGCAGAAAUCUGUAGGGGAGAGACUGUGUCCUGGUGGCCUAAAGAAAAUGGAUGGGGAAGCCCCCAGAGGCCCUCAGAGAGAGGAAGUGACUUCCCCAAAGUCAUGCAGAUUGGGGUGGAGAAGGCCGGAGCCUUGGUGCCGCUGCCUUGCCACUGUCCUGGCCUGUGUGCGUGUGACCCCUGAGCAGCCUGUGCUCUGUGCGUCUGACUCUCAGAGCAGUAGCUGGAGCGGGGAGCCUGGGUCGAGGGUUUGAGGGUGCUUUGCCGGGUGCUCAUUUGCUCAUCCAUCCGGGGCUCCAAGACCUCGGGCAGGGCUGGACCCGGUUAGUUGCCGGCUGUUUGCUAUUUCUCAGGCUGUUGCCCCUAACAGUGGGCUUGUAAACAAUGACACCAUCGUCCACAACUACCUUCUCUGCUUUCCAGAGCUGAGGCACUGGGAAUCUGGUAGAUGAAAAUUCAACAACUUCAUUAAAAGCCCGGCUGCUCUGGGGUUGUGUGGGGUUUGUUCUUCAUGUUGUCAGGGCUUCACUAGAAUUCUCUCCCAGGUAUUUCAAAAAGUCCACUCCUGAGAGUUUGAUGGGAGCAGGGACCCUUUCUAUGCUAUCUUCAUGUCCCCCGGUGCAUGGCAGAGACUGGCAGAGAUUAAGAAUCAGUAAUAUGUAUUCAUAGGAAUGGCUGACAUGUAUGUACCUUUUACUAUGUGCCAGGCUCCAUGCCACCCUCCAGCAUGCACUGCCACAGGUUAUUCCCAUGAAAAGCCAAGUAGGUGGAUUCGACUAUUAUUAUUCCCAUUUUAUAGAUUUAUUUAUUGACUAUUAUUAUUAUUAUUAUUAUUUUUUGAGACAGAGUCUUGCUCUGUCACCCAGGCUGGAGUGCAGUGGCACGAUCUCAGCUCAUUUCAACCUCUGCCUCCCAGGUUCAAGUGAUUCUCUCCUGCCUCAAUCUCCUGAGUGGCUGGGAUUACAGGCACCCGCCACCAUGCCUGGCUAAUUUUUUUGUAUUUUUAGUACAGACGGAGUUUCACCAUGUUGGCCAGGCUGGUCUUGAACUCCUGACCUCAGGUGAUCCGCCCACCUUGGCCUCCCAAAGUUCUGGGAUUAUAGGCAUGAGCCACCGUGCCUGCCCUCACUGUAUAGAUUUAAAAACCAGAGAGGGUCAGAGUGGUAAAACCACUUGCCAAAGGUCACACAGAGGGCAACCUGAGACUGGAAUCCAGGACCACUUGCCCUAAAAGAGUCCAUGCUCUCCCUGCCACAUGGUCCUGAGGGAGGUAGCAAGUCCAUGAAUGAGUGAAUAAAUGGAUGAAGAAACAGAGAAGCAACUAUAGUGCAGUGGAAAGAGCAGCUUCCAGUCCUGGGACUACCACGUGACCUCGGGUUUGUCCCUCACCUCUGGACCGGCCUCAGUUUCUUCACUUGUACAACAAGAGGGUUAGACCACAUCAUACGAUCUCUAUGGCUCUCAGGGUUCUGACAGGCUGGGAUUCUUAGGCAGCUGCAAGCAACAAGGUGCAGUCUGCCCCACCCACCCAUCUUCUGAAACUGACAGGCCUUCUCUUUUCACAUGCCUCAAGUUCUCUGGACUGUGUGUCUGGGACAAGAAGGCGAAGUUCAGACAGAGAAUCAUCAGGACACAACUAACACCAGGCCGGGGUGCCCCAGCCUGGUGCGCGGUAGAUCUCCAAUAAGCCCUGGGUAGAUGAAGAAGCACACGUUGCUUCUUGCCCCUUCCCAGGCACUACCUGACCAUGCAAGUUGUGUUUUGCCUCACAAACCUCCUUCCCCAGAAUUCUUUCAUCAAGAAAGCCAGGAGGGCCAGUGGGAAACCCACUUUGCCCCCAGCAAAUCCCCACCUGGGAUGCUAAGGAAAUCAGCCAAAAGAUGAAAGCUUCAUGCCCAUCAUGGCAUUUUUAAUAACAUCAAACUAAUGGCUGCAUCCAAAGUGUCCACUCAGAUGCGGCAAGUGGGAGUCAUGACACAGCCACUCCACGAUGCCACAGGGGAAAUGUCUUGUGAUGGCUGUUAGGUGAAAAAAAGGAUAAAAAAAAACUAUGCCUUCUGGUAUUGUACCUUCAUAAAGCAAAUAAUAAUGAUGAAUACUAUUCCUCAUGAAGUGCCAGGCAUCUUUUUUUUUGAGAUGAAGUCUCGCUCUGUUGCCCAGGCUGGAGUACAGUAGUGCGAUCUCAGCUCACUGCAACCUCUGCCUCCCGGGUUCAAGCAAUUCUCCUGCCUCAGCCUCCCAAGUAGCUGGGAAUACAAGCAUGUGGCACCAUGCCCGGCUAAUUUUUUAUAUUUUUUAGUAGAGAUGGGUUUCACUGUAUUAGCCAGGAUGGUCUCCACCUCCUGACCUUGUGAUCUGCCCACCUCGGCCUCCCAAAGUGCUGGGAUUACAGGCAGGAGACACCACACCCAGCCAGUGCCAGGCAUUUUAUAAGCAAAGUCCUAAGCACUUUACACAUUAACUCAUUUGGUCCUUAUAAUAACCCUAUGCGGUAGAUGUGAAUAUUAUUGCCAAUUUGCAGGAGUAGAAACUGUGUGCCUCUUACUGCACAAACAGAAUUGAGAUGUGACUUCCAACAGACUGGUUCUAUGCCCUUAACCACUACUUAACCUCUAAAUCACACACUUUAAUUAUUGGAUUCCUGUGCUCUUAGAAGGGUACGGUUUUUUUUGUUUGUUUUGCUGUUGUUGUUUUCUGUUUUUCCUAUUUUUCUAAACUGUUGGUAUGGCAGUUCUAGUAUUUUGUAAACUUUUAAAGAAGUUUUCUUUAAAGAACCAAAAGUAAUAAGCACUGAACUGGAAAUCAGAAACCCUUGGUUCUAGCCCCAGGCCUAGAACCACUUUGCUGUGGUUCUUGGGAAAGUCACUCCACCUCUCUGAGUCUUGAUUUCCUUUCCUUUGAACUGAGAGGUUUAGGCCAAAUUGUCUGUGAAACUCCAUACAGCUUAGGCCAUCUAGGACUAGAUUGGACACUUAUCACCCACCUGGGUGGUAGACAGGCAGGAAAAAGACCACUUUACAGGUAGGGAAAUGGAGGUUCAAAGUAAUGAAGUGACUUGCCCUGAUAUAAACCACACCUCCUCCUCAGGGAAGCCUUCCCUGACUACCUCCUUCAGCAGGUCAGGUCUCUGUGCUCUAAUUGUACCCUUGCAUUUUUCCUACCUAGCACGUCUACCAUUUUAUUUCUUUACAAGAGUUAAAUAAGAAUUAUAUGGCCAAAUAAAAUUUGGGAAAUGUUAGAUUAGACAAAGUUGAGUCUCUUCCAGAUUUCUCAGUGCCUGUAUUAAUGCUAACAUGCUCUGAUCUCCAAGAGAAAGACACAGUCAACCUUGAGCCUUUCCCAAACCUAUUUGAGCUUAGAAUCAUUUAAAAGAAAAACACAGAGAUUAAUCUUGGCACCUUGUCAAUUGUUUAUCCCACACCUUGCUCCACAUGCCCUCUGGGUGGAUGUUCCAGUGGGGUCUUGUUCAAUGUCUUUUUUUUUUUUUUUUGAGACAGAGUCUUGCUCUGUCACCCUGGCUGGAGUACAGUGGUGCAACCUUGGCUCACUGCAACCUCCACCUCCUGGGCUCAAGCGAUCCUCCUCCUGCCUCAGCCUCCCAAGUAGCUGGGAUUACAGGCACAUGCCACCAUGCCCAGCUAAUUUUUGUGUUUUUAGUAGAGACGGGUUUCACCAUGUUGGUGAGGCUGGUCUUGAACUCCUGACCUCAGGUGAUCCACCCGCCUCCGCCUCCCAAAGUGCUGGAAUUACAGGCGUGAGCCACCACGCCCAGCCAGUCUUGUUCAUUGUCUUGUUCCCCACUGAAUCCUCAGUGCCUCCAGCCCUGCCCGGCACAUGGCAGGUCAAUAUAUCUGUCAAACAAGUGAGUGGCCAGAGGAAAGCUAGAGUACUCAACUCCUAAAUUCUCACACAGGUUAGUAAUAACUAACUAGUCACCUGAAAGAUGCUAUUUAUUUAUUUAUUUUGGAGACAGAGUCUUGCUCUGUUGCCCAGGCUGGAGUGCAGUGGCACAAUCUCAGCUCACUGCAACCUCCACCUCCUGGGUUCAAGUGAUUCUCCUGCCUCAGCCUCCCGAGUACCUGGGACUACAGGUGUGCGCCACCAUGCCUGGCUAAUUUUUGUAUUUUUAGUAGGGAACGGGUUUUCACCAUGUUGGCCAGGCUGGUCUCAAAUGCCUGGCCUCAAGUGAUCUGCCCACUUCAGCCUCCCAAAGUACUGGGAUUAUAAGUGUGAGCCACCACACCCAGACUGAAAGAUGGUUUUUAAGCUGUUGGUGGUUAAAAUGUGUUUUCUUCCAAAGUCACACCAGGGAACCCCUAUGGAGACCUUCACCCACCCAAAUCAAUCAGCUCAUCACUCACUUCCCCAAGCUUAGGGCAUCUUAAUAUGCUGCUUCCCUGGCCCUUCCACAGGAAGGAAGGAAAGCAACUCAGAGAGACUUCUAUGUGGUGAGAAAUGGUCUCCAUGCAUUUGUAAGGCUUAAAGUCUUUUUUUUUUUUUUUUUUUUUUUGAGACAGAGUCUCACUCUGUCGCCCAGGCUGGAGUGCAGUGGCGCAAUCUUGGCUCACUGCAAGCUCCGCCUCCCGGGUUCACGCCAUUCUCCUGCCUCAGCCUCCCCAGCAGCUGGGACUACAGGCACAUGCCACCACGCCCGGCUAAUUUUUGUAUUUUUAGUAGAGAUGGGGUUUCUCUGUGUUAGCCAGGAUGGUUUCGAUCUCCUGACCUUGUAAUCCGCCCGCCUCGGCCUGCCUCCCAAAGUGCUGGGAUUACAGGCGUGAGCCACAGUGCCCGGCCAAGGCUUAAAGUCUUAAAGGACCUCCGUCUAAGGGGCCAUUCUGUCUCCUAGUCACCUUGCCCACUGAUAGUGAGUAUUGUAGUUGCCAUGCUGCUGCUGAUGGCAAAUGUGAGCACCUUUUAUGUGACGAGCACUUUACUAGAGGUUUCUGCUUCCCUACCAAGACAUGGCAUCUGUGACCCACACCUUCCCUCCUCUCCCACUGUACUGCUGCACUCUGCAGCCAGAUCCAAGGGAAAAAAGUCAAAAUCCCUUCGUGUGCAAUAUUGGAAAGAGCUUUGGAAAUUUCAGACCAAUCUGAACUCGACUCCUGGCUUCAUCACUUACUAGCUGUGAGACUCAGGGCCAGGGUUCUAGACUCUCAGAAUCUCAGUUUCAUCAUCUGCAAAAUGAAGAUAAUCACAUUUUUAAAAUGUGUGCAAAGAGGGUUGCAGAAUGAACUGUACUGUGUAAAUGACUGCAGGAGACUGAACUGUACUGUGUAAAUGAGUGCAUGAGAUCAGCAUGCCUGGGUCCUGACUCUACACUCUGUAAAUUAUACUGUAUGUCAUCUUAUUUACUCCGUGCAACCACCAGUAAGGUAUCCUUCUCAUCCCCAUUUCAUAGAUAAGGCAUCAGGCUCAGAGAGGAGAAAUUAAAACAUCCAAAUCUCACUGCUGGUAAGUCAGACAGGAUUAAAACCAGUCUGUUACCUUUCAAAGGCAUACUACCAACUGCCUCAAACUGUUCCCAUCCCAUGUCUGCCAGAUUCCCCAUCAGCAUUCAGGGCACCUGGGGGCAAGCCCCACCCUGCCAAUGCCUGGCUCCUGUAUCCAGCAGCAAAUCACCUCAUCUUACUAGGUCUUAAGCUUCUCAUCUGUAAAAUGGGCAGAAAAAUCUUAAGGUAAGGUAGAUACGUGGCUGGAAAGAUAAUGCUUUGUAAACUGCUGCAUCACCAUGUGCAAUAGGAAUAUUUGGGAUUUGUGCAAAUGUGGUCUGGGAAAAAGGGAGAACAGUGCUACACGUAUGCCCCACCCCCAGUAUACAGACCCUAAAUGAAACUCACACCCAGACAGUCAUUGCCAGAUUGGCUCAAAGAAGAAAGAACUAUGUCCAUUGAUCAGGCAGGCCUGGAUUUGGAUCCAGCUCUGCAGGUAACUAUAAAGUGUGAUUUGGGGCAAGUGGAGAUCAUUUGGGCCUCUGCCUUCUCAUCUGGAUGGUGGGGGAAGAGGGAUCAUGCUGCCUGGUACACAGCAUGGUUGGUCCUUCCUCUGGGCUCCCUCAGUAGGUGCCCCAACGGAUCACACCAUGAGGAAACUGUACAUGGGUCUGUGUCUAUACCUAACAGGUGAAUUUCCUCAGGGCCAGGACCAUGGUUUGUUCAUCUCUGUGUCCCCAAGGCCUGGUGCCAAUAUAUGUUUCAUCAGAUGAAAGAAUAAGAGGUAACUCUCCUGGAAAUCUGAUUUGUUCCUAAGUCAGGUGACCAAGCCUUCUGCCUCCCCAAGGCCAACAGAGACUGGCUCCUCACUGGAAAUUCUGAUUCAACUAUGGGUACUUACUCUUCAUUUCAUUUAAUCUGGAUAACUGAGAGAGGUUUGUGCCCUAAUGGUGCCCUUUCUACAGAUGAGAAAUCUAUGGCUCAGAGAGGGUAACUAAUUUGUCCAAGACACACAGCCAGUGAACCCAGCCCAGGUCUUCCUGAACCCGGUUCCAUCCCCAGCUAAAGCAUUAAUUCAUAGAACUGCCCUCCCUCCCCUGACCCCACUCCAUAGAGCAAGCCUGUCUAUGCCCAGGAGGGCUUUGAAUGUGGCCUAACACAAAUUCGUAAACUGUCUUAAAACAUUAUUAUUAUUAUUAUUAUUUUAGCUCAACAACUAUCGUUCGUGUUAGUGUAUUUUAUGUGUAACCCAAAACAAUUCUUCUUCUUCCAAUGUGGCCCAGGGAAGCCAAAAGAUUGGACAUCCCUGCCACAGAGCAACUGGGUUGGGGAAGGACGAAGGGUCCUACUAAGCAGAGAAAAGGCAGCCCAACCCCAAGUCCUCAGUCCGAACUCACCCACGGCUGAAGGGAGGGGACGCCAAAGAGGGUCCUUGACCUAACCCCAAGAAGGCAAACAACGAAGGAAACAGACGAGAGGGACCUGCUACCCCAGCCAGUGUAGUCACGUUCUCCAUCCACCAGGAGCUCAGGCCACUGGGACUCCAAAGCAAAACAGACCAUGAGGGAGGGGCGGGCCCAGAGGGGCGCAUCGGCAUCCCAUUGGCCGACGCUCCCUCCCUCGGCUACGUCACCCAGUCCUCCCUCUCCCGCAGCCCCUCGCCCGCUCCCCGUGGGCAGCGCUGCUCAAGGGGGCGCCUCGGGAGCCUAGGGGCCCCAACUCCCGGCUCCCCCCGCAGCUGCAGCUGCAGUUGCGCCGCGUCACAGCCUCCACCCGCCCCACAGAGGGCAUUUUUUUGUUUGUUUUUUGUUUCUGACAAACUCACAAGAACUUUCUCAGGGCAGCUGCGCAGCCCUCCGUCUCCGUCAUCCCUCUGUGUCACCUCCCAGCCCUCAAUCCCAGAGACCUGGGGCUGGAGGGUGGGUCAGACUGGCCUGGACUCGAAUCCCACCACCUCCCCUCCUGUUGUGAGGCUGUCCGGUUACUUCAUCCCUCGGUUUUCUUCCCUCAAAAUGUGUGUCGCUGGCACUGUAACCACACGUUCUGAAGAAUAAAUUGGUUAAACUUGCUAUCAAGGGAGGCAUUGUCUUGCCUUCUCUUUGUACGAAUGGGGAAACUGAUGUCCACUACCAGAAUAAUUGCUCAUACUAGUGAAUCAUGCCAGCUAAUGAAUCUAGUUAAUGCUGUUAUUGGCUACCAUCCACUGAGCAACGAAGUGUCAGGUCGCACCACAGGCACGUCAUUUCAGUGGCUCCUUGGAUAACCCGGCAGCAUAAUUUAUUGUAUCCAUUUCUUGUAUGAGGAAACAGGCUACAAAAAGUCAAGUGACUUGCCUAAGACCCUAAAAUGAGUAAAAGGAGGAGCUGACCGUUUGAGAUGUGGCCCACGACUCUGCCACAACUUUGGGUCAUGCAGGAGCCUGGGACCUGCUUCUGUGCCUCCAGACUAGGGUUCUUAACAUCUCUAGGGGUGUGAAAAUUUGGUGAAAGUUCUGGAUCUUCUCUAUUAAGAAGUUACUCGCACAUGUAAGUGCAGUUCUGCUGAGUUUCACAGGCACCCAGCCGCUCCCCCACCCCACCAUGUCCUCUGGGCAGUCCCGCCCCCACCUGCCCACCCAGGGAAUCUGCCCACACACAUCCCCACCACCAAACCUUGCUUCCAGGAGAGUCUGGGAGGCAGAAGAUAAAUCUAGAGAGAUGCCUGAAGGAAGAGAGAGGGGGGAGUGAGACAGAGGCAGACAGCAAGAGAAGAGAAACUAGAGUGGGUAAGAAGCAAGAAGCAGGAGCUAAUGAUAGUCACCUUGGGUGUACGUCCUGGGAUGGGGUGGGGCGGCCUCUAGAUUUAUCUGAAAUGUUUGAACCUUUUAUGAUGUGAAUGUGUGUAAAAUGAGUGUCACUUGAAUAAUAAACAGAAACUAAGAAUUGUUUAGAAGAAAGAAAAGAGACCGAGUGUGGAGACAAUGAGGAUGGAGCGAUACGCAAACAGAAAAACAGAGAGGCAAAAACUGAAAAAGAGAAAAGACAAAGUAAGAAAAAAAAGACUGAAAUACAGAUGGGGACAGGCUGGAGAGGUGAAGAAAGAGAAUGAGAAAGAUUAAACACACAGAGAAGCAGACACAGGGUGGAAGGUCCUUCCAAGGCCCACGGCGAGGGGUGCAGGGUUCCACCCCAGUCCCUGGUGGUCGCAGAUGCCCUCACCCCUGGCCCUGGCUGACCUGGAGGACCCGCUUGGUGAGGCCCGUCUUUUGCGCGAGCUGCUUCAAGUCCUUGGCGUCGGGGUUGUGGUUAAUGGCAAAGUAAGACUUCAUGGUCCGAAGCUGGUGGUGCUUGAAGGACGUGCGCAUGCGCUUGGUCUUCUGGCUGCUCGGGUAUGGCUGGUCACGGUCCAGGUGCUCUGCGUCGUUUUCGUUGCAGCUUAGCGCUAGGGAGGAGACACAGAGCCGGUGGGUGAACUUCCUGACCCGCCCCCCAUGCCAAAUCCACACUCGCCCCACCCACUGCCAAACAUUUCAAUCCUUAACCCUGCUGCAUGUCUGCGCCACAAUGAAAGGGGGACAUCAUCCCCAUUUUAUAGAUGGAAACACUGAGGCUCAGAGACAGCGAUCCACCCAGGAUCACACUGCUAAGAACUGCAGCACUGAAUCCCGGCUCUGGGAGAAUCCAAAAAUCAUUCUGAGCCAUUAUGUUACAAUAAGAACAAUAGUAGCAGCAGCAGCAGCAGCAGCAACAACAGCUACGACUUGUUGAUGGCCGAUUGAACUCCAGGUGAUGUGUUAAAGGGCUUUCCAGGCACAUUUUCUUUAGGUACUUAAAACAAUCCUAGGAGCACCAGGUAUUAUUUUUCCCGUUUUUACAGAUGUUGAAACUGAGGCUCAGCAAGGGAAGUCACUUGACUUUGGACACAGCAGGACAGGGUCUCUGGGCCUGCCCUCCUCCUGUUUUCCAAGGCACUCUAAGGAGGAGUGCUUUCUGCCGUCUCCCCCUACCGUGUCUGGGACCGGCACCUAGAAACUGCUGAAACAGAGAUUCAUGUUCAUUUUGCCACACCCAAAAGUACUGAGGGACCCCUGGGCCUUGGGCACUGGGCCAAAGGUUGGAAACUGCAUUUUGCAGUUUAAUCCUCAUCGCUACCCUGUAAGAUGAUUGUUUCUCCGUGAACAAGUGGAGCAAAUUAGGCUCGGGGAAGUUCAGAGAUCUGCGGCAGUCCACAGAGAGCGGCAGAGUGGACGGGGAAGGAAGUCCGAGGCAGAAAUAAACAUGUAGUAGACACCUAUGGUGUGUGUUUGGCUUUACAAAUGUCACUGUACAUCAUUACCUCUCAGAGAGGUGGCUAUGACUAUUCCCAUUUUAGAGAUGUGGAAACUAACGCUAAGGGAAAUGAAGCCACUUGCACACUGCCACACCACCGGUAACCAGCUAGAUUGAUCUUGAUCUGUUGAGCCUAGAUUUAGCACUGGAGUACUCCUUGUUUUCUUCCACUACACCACGAAGGGAGGAGGGAGCCUGUCCCUAACCACAAGGAGCCUCAUGGGGGCCACGCUGCCAAUGCCUGGCUGGCAUUGGGGGUGGGGAAUAUGGGUGAAAACCUGGGCCUCAGAAAAUUGCUCAGCCACCUGGAAGCUGAUGGGGACCUGCAGGACCCCUCCCAAGGUCGCCUCCUCAUGGCACCUCCCGAGCCAUGCCACACUUAAGGUCUUGCCUUGGGGUAAGCCUCAUAAGGGGUGUACAUUCGGUCCGCCUAAAGUGAGAACUGAGAAGGUAUCUUGUGCCCUCAUCACAUACCCGUAACAGAGCUCUAGAUUUAGCAAAUGAAAAUACAGGUUGCCCAGUUAAAUAUAAAUUUCAGAAAAAUAAUAAGUAAUUUUUUAGUAUAAGCAUGUCCUAAAUAUUGCAUGGGACAUACCUAUACUAAAAAUGUAUUUGUUGUUUACCUGAAAUUCAAAUACUACAGGUGACACAGCUAUGCUAAAAAAUUGUCAUUUAUCUAAAAUUCAAAUAUUACACGGGACACUUAUACUACAAAUUUCAAAUUUAUUCGUUAUUUUUCCAAAAUGCAAAUAUUGCCGGGGACACUUACACUAAAAAUGUAUUUGUUACGUACCCAAAAUUCCAAUUUAACUGGGGAUGCUGCAUUUUGCCUGGCCACACUACCUCCAAAGGACUUUUACUCUGCUGGUGACCUCCCCCUUCCCCUGCCCAGAUGGGGAAGAGCCCCUUGCAGAGAGAAUUUGCAAGAUACAAGUCUUGCCCCUGCCUUUGGAGCUGUUAGCUAGGGGCUACACCUCCUAGGGGCCUCUUUCCACCGGCACUCAGGUCCCCUCACCCCCGGGGCUGCAUUCCCACAGAGAGCACGCCCAGAGUGAAGAGCGCGGGUCCGGCAAUUUAAAGGGGAUCAGAGGAUGCCUCUGAACCUGAUCCACCAGAACUGCUUGGAACCCGCUGAGGUGAGCAACCCUUUUCUUUCCCCCAGUCCCCAGCUCCACUGGGGGUGGGGCAGCCUCCCUACGGGGUAUCUUUGGGCCCAUCCCUCCACCGAGCCCCCGCCUGGGCCUGGCUGCUGUUAAUGAGCUCCGUGGGGACCCCGGCGCCCCCAUGGGCCCAAGGGACCUGCCCUGAGUGCCGCCUAGGUGGGGUAGUAGUGCGGGGGAGGGGGACAGAAAGGGCAGAGAAAGGAGAGAAAAAGACAAACACAGAAAGGCAGAAUGGAGGGAGAGAAAGAGAGAGGGGGUAGGGACGGAAGAUGGACAGAGCCAGGAAAAAGAGAGGACAGACAGAGGAAAAGAAAGCGAAGGAGCCAGGAGAACCACAGAGAGACAGCUACAAAGACAGCAAGAAAUAGGGAGAGCGGAGGGGAAAGCGAGUCCCGGAAACAGGCGCAGCUUGUGGCGAGGGUCCGGUGGCCGAGCUGAAUCCCGGGGCUCCGGGAGACCCGGUCCCUGCGGGGGAGGCCUUUUCCGAAGCCGUUAUUGGCGGGGGAGUAGAGAAAAGGGGAAAGAAGGGGAGUGGAGAAAAAGGGAAAGGAGCCGGCCCUAAGUAGCGAGGCCGAGGCCGGCCAGAGGCAAGGGCAGGGGGCGGCGGCGGGGGAGGCAGCCGUGGGGCCCAGGUUUGGCCGGCGCCCCGAACCCCCUCACUCCCGCCCCCAGUGCCCGGGGGCGGGUCGAGAUUCCCCAGGAUCGGAUCCGGGGAGGAGCGAGGGGCCGAGGGGAGGGGGAGGACCCGGGCUUUCUCUCUCCUUUUUUUUUUUUUUCCUCUCAAUUAGGCCGAUUCAAUGGAGCUAAAGAGCUCGUAAAAUCAUGAAUAAUUUACUCGUGAUCUGUUAUUAACCCAUCGGGUUUCGAGCUCUUGUCGCUGGGACUGAACCUGUAAUCAAAUCUGACUUCGCCUCAUUUUACUAAAGACGAGAUUGUAGGUUCAAUUGUCUAAAUAAUGGAUUGGAAUCAAAUCAGUAAUUACGCCGCCAGGCACACACACACAAAAAGCUGGGGCUGGGGGAGGCCGGGCGUCCGGCCGGUCCGCGCGGGACUCCCGCGGCCGCGGCGCGCAAACCCAGGCGCAAAGUGCGCGGCCCGGGCCCCUCGCCCGCUCCUGCCGCCGUUUUCGCACCCCCAGCCCGCUGGCAGCCCCUCCCGGGGUAGGGGGAGGUUUCCGUUCCACCGGGGCCCGGGCCCGAGGGGCUGCGGGAAGAGGCCGCUGCGGCCCCGCCCCGGAAGGACUUUCCGACCCCGCGGCCCGCGGCUCUGCUGUAAGCCCAGCGCCCGGCGCCCCGACGGCGCCCCCUCCCCACUCGGCCCCCAGCUCGCCGCCCUUCAGUAAGGUGCCGCCGCGCCUCGGAGGGACUGUCCCCAGAGCAAGAGGCUUUGCAAGGGGUCGUCGUGGCUGGGCCACAGGAUGUGGGACACUGCCACAAACAAGCUCGUGUCCCCGUGGUCGGAACCCUGCACGCACACGCACACGACCCGCGCCCGCACACCCCGUCCGCGAUCGCACCCUCCAGGGUCCCCGCUUUCCAGUCCUAGCUGCCCCGCGGCCCACACUGCGGCCAUUUCUCUCCUGCCAGUGCGGGAGGGGAGGGAAGGGCGGACGCCAGAUCUAGGAAGACUGGGCUGGGCCCCGAGAGGCCGGGGAGAUGCCCUCUUUCCCCAACCUAGUCCCGGGAGCCCCGAAAGAGCCAGCCGCAUAGCCACCGCCGGCGCACCGAACGCCGUUUCUCUCAGGACUAGGAGCCCCGGCCAAGGUCGGAGAGGAGGGCACGGGAACAAACACGACACACACAGAGACAGAGAUAGAGAGAAAGGACGGAGAGAACGGAAAGGAAAAAAAGAGAGAGGGAGGCCAGAGAGAAAGUGAGAUGGCUGAAUGGAGGGUGUCUCUUGUAGAGGUUAAACAAGGCUUGAAAUUCAGCCUCCAGCCCACCUCGCUGGGGCAAACGGCGGCUGAACAGCAAAAAGCAGAAAUAAAUCUCUGUACCUUCUACUCUCUUUUUGCACAAUCCUAAAACCGGCGCCGAACCUCCGUGCCCAGGAAAACAAUACAGCUCCCCAGCCACCAGGUGCCCUGGAGCCGAGCCCCGCGAGGUGCUUCCGAGUGGAAGUUGACCCACUUGAUAAAUAGAAGCGGCUUGGUGUUGGGGGAGCCGGUCUGAACUCGGUUUUGUCUUUUUUUGGGGGGUGGUAGGAGAGGAGGGAUGGAAGUUCCAGAGAGCUACAUCUGUGGUAGUGCCUUCAGCAAAUCUUAAAUCCGCGCCACCGACCGGCCUACCGCUGCUUCACCAUUUACCAAACUGGGGGCUGCGUUUUCCUCCCAGUUCCGCACACAGGGACACACGCCCCAUGAUCCUCCAAGCGAUUUCGUUGGAGCGAACACCCGCCCCUCAUUUCCCUCUCUAUUCAACUCAGAUUCUUUAAGAUGAAAAUAACUGACUUCUUCCCGCCGUAGCACCCUCUGCACAGUCUUGGGUUUGUUUUUGUUUUUGCUUUUUUCUGCUUGUGCAUUAGACUAAAGGGAAAAGGAAGAAGAACACAAAAUCUCCAAAUCUAAUUCUGUUGCAAACGAAAGAAAGAAAAUAAUUGCACAUAAACUCUAGUUCGGAAGCCCGGAGAGUCAUAAACCUUUCCGGGCCUUGCAGACUUCGGGCAGAUGUUGACGGCUCAUUUGCCGGAACUCAGAACCUCUGCAGCUGUCCUGAGCAGGGAGGGGCGCGGGAGGGGGCAGAGCUUCUCCGGGAAUGGCCUGGGGUUCAAAGAUGCCGGAAAUCCGAACCAAGCCCCCCACCUCACCCCACCCCACCCCACCCCGGCGCGAGGCCAGGCCUGCUCCGGUCUCGUCCCCGCCCGGGGGGCUCGCUUCCGAGGGUCACGGCCCUCACCCCAGCAGGCGCCAGGAAACUCGGAGGAAAAAGUCCGGGAAAACUGAGACCUGUCUUUAAAGGAGGAUCGGGCCGAGCAAAAGGAACCGCAGCCUUUGCUUUCCUGAGUUCCCCAAGCCCGAGUUCCCCAAGCCUGCCGCCCUUGGGACAUUUCACGAGGUCAGGCCGCACUCCAGGCCGAGCUCGGCGCCCCGGGCCACAGCCAGCCCUUUCUCUUGGGACCCUCGCCGCCCUGCCUCGUUCCUUCGCUGCCCCAGUUCCCGGCCCUCAGCCGCGCCAACCCAAAACCUGUUUGGCGUCAGCGCCGCCUUGCUUUCUCCAUCCCUGCCACUUCCUGCCUAGCAAAGUGGGGCAAAGGCCCAAACCAAAAAGCCAUCUCCAAAAAAACAAUUUAUCAGAGACAAGGCCCUGCACCCGGAGCAGCAAGGGACCACUGCACCCUCUCCUCCCGCUCCAGCCGAGGACGCACAGUCUGGAAGCCCAGGGGGCUAAUGUCCCUUCUGCGAGGCCGUCCGGUGCUUAAGGCUCGCUAUUUGCCCAGCACACAGAGAUUCAAUCCAGCUCCCGGCCGUCGAGGCCGCACACUUUCCCCCAACCCUAUGGGGGCGCUUCGUGCGCCGCGCACUCACCAGCGUUGUAGGCCGCCAGAUCCGCACCGGGGCCCGGGCUCUUACGUUUCCUCGGCCGCCCCUUCUGCACAGUGCC
rnacentral:lncRNA from 1 species